AUGGCCAUCCACACGGUGUUUCAGCUGCUCCUACUUCUGCUUCUUUCUUCCAUCAGCAGCAGCACCACCAUGGCUACGACUCCAUUAGCAGCGCGAGCUUCCGAAUCUGGAGCUCCAAGACACCAACAGGGCAUCAGGAGGUUCCCAUCUGCCAAUUGCCCAAACAAAUGCGGCGAUAUGGAUAUCAUGUUUCCCUUCGGCAUCGGCCCCGACUGCUCCCGGGAUACCACCUUCGCUCUCAUUUGCGACAACGGCACGCUCUAUCUCACAGACCGCGUCACGAAGGUGUUUUUCAUGGGCGACGCCGGGGCUCCACAGGCUUCCAUUGGCAGUGUAAUUAUCAAGUCCUCAAUUCCCAUCUCGACGAGUCCGGGUGCUGAAGUGCAGAAUGCAUCACUAAAGACCCCCUCCAGCAAUCUCGUUUUCGCUCUCUCUCAGCUAAUGAUCACCGUGUGCAAUUUCUACACCUACCUGAUUGGAAACUCAAAUAUAAGUCCGGAAAUCCCGUUUUGCACUUACUGUGACGCGGAUGAGUCAGACCCCGAUAUGGUUUACGGGAAGAAAUGCAACCACAGACCACCCUUCGACGCCCACAUGGUUGCCAAUCCCGUGCAGCUCAAGUUUGUCCCUGUCAAGGAGGCCCAGCAGGUGCAGCGCCAAAAAGCGACUGUGCUAGCUAUGCUUUUUUGGAAUAUAAAUGACCAACGUACAUGUGCCGCCGCUUCGGCAGAUUGGGCCAACUUCGCCUGCGUGAGCAACCACAGCUCGUGCGUAGACACCACAUACAUGGCUGGUUAUUCAUGCCGUUGCGAUGCUGGGUACUCGGGCAACCCGUAUGUACUCGGUGGCUGCUCGCGUGAUCCCGGAUACAAUCCGUCGGCUCGGCGAAAUGUGACGUGCACUCGUUCUUGUGGUAAAAUGAAGAUUCCCUUUCCAUUUGGACUAGAAGAUGGUUGUUCUGCAAAGACCGAAUUUCAACUUUACUGCAACGCAUCAGCUUUCAUGUUUCUAUAUUCAAUUAGAAGGCCAGGGGGAUAUAUCACAAACAUCAAUAUUACUGAGGGGUACUUGGACAUUGAAGGUACCUCUUAUGAUCAGUCUGACUAUGGACCAUUCUACAUUGCUGACAGAGGCUCAAACAGACUGCAAUGGGUAGUCGCAAAUAUAACUUGCCAAGAGGCACAUCAGCAUAUCUUCACAUAUGCAUGUGUUAGCCCCAAUAGCGAAUGCUUAUACGUCAACUCAACGGUAGUGGGUUAUAGCUGUAAAUGCAAUGAUGGCCAUGCAGGAAAUCCAUACGUUACCGGACCCGAUGGUUGUAAAUGCAAUGAUGGCCUUUGUAAAGGAGUAUGCCGCAGUACCGAUGGAAGUUACACAUGUGCAGGUAUUGCUAUUGGGCUUGGAAUUGGCUUCGGUCUUCUACUUCUUGGCUUAAGUGCAAUGUUUAUCCUCCGUAGAUGGAGAAGAGGCGUCCAAAAGAGACUGAGAAUGAAAUAUUUUACAAAGAACCACGGCCUCCUUCUAGAACAAUUAAUAUCAUCAAAUGAAGAUGCAAGUGAAAGGACAAAGAUUUUCUCUCUAGAAGAGUUGGAGCAGGCAACAAACAACUUUGAUCUCACACGGAUCCUUGGCCGUGGAGGGCAUGGCAUGGUGUACAAAGGCAUCUUAUCUGACCAGCGAGUGGUGGCUAUAAAGAAAUCUAAGGUCAUUGAGCAAGGUGAGAUUGACCAAUUCAUCAAUGAGGUCGCCAUCCUUUCACAGAUCAACCACAGAAACAUCGUAAAGUUGUAUGGUUGUUGCCUUGAAACUGAGGUGCCACUACUAGUGUAUGAUUUUGUUCCUAAUGGUUCCUUGUUUGAAAUCCUUCAUUCUGGUCCAAGCAACACUUCUUUGUCCUGGGAUGGCUGCCUAAGAAUUGCUGCACAGGCUGCAGGAGCCCUCUAUUAUCUCCACUCUGCAGCUUCCAUAUCAGUCUUCCAUCGUGAUGUCAAGUCUUCUAAUAUACUCCUGGAUGCAAACUACACUGCAAAAGUUUCUGACUUUGGUGCAUCAAGAUUGGUGCAUAUAGAUCAAACUCAUGUUACCACCGGCAUACAAGGCACAUUUGGAUACUUGGAUCCAGAAUAUUUUCGCACUGGGCAGCUAAAUGAAAAGAGCGACGUGUACAGCUUUGGUGUUGUGCUUUUAGAGCUACUUCUCAGAAAGAAACCUGUUUUUACUAGCGAGUCAGGCUCGGCUCAGAGUUUAUCUAGUUACUUUCUUGGGGAGAUGCAGGAGAGGCCAGUAAAAGAGAUAGUCGCCGCUCAAGUUCGUGAAGAAGCAACCGAGGAAGAAAUUAUCAGUGUUGCCUCCCUUGCAGAGAUGUGCCUGCGGCUCCAGGGUGAUUAUAGGCCUACGAUGAAGGAAGUGGAGAUGUCUUUGCAGCUUCUGCAUACGAAAAGGUUGUUGUCAUCCCAUGUCACUCCAGAAAAUGGACGAGCUGAAGCUAGUGCCCCGUCUCACUCAGGUAACGAAAUCAAUCCAGCCCCUGCACACAGUCAACGAUGUUAUAGCUUGGAGCAAGAGUUCUUAUCAUCUGCUAGCUUACCACGCUAA
rnacentral:rRNA from 1 species